rnacentral:lncRNA from 1 species
AGAACUGUCCUUCACGAUGCUAUGCAAUCCCCAGGAGAAGCAUGUUGAAAGCUGAAAAGAAUGACUGAGAUGUGUUGGCGGGCUUCUCAAGAUCCCUAUUGAUGGCAGAAGGCUGACAUGAGUUGCCCAUAGUCCAGGUUUCCCAAUGUAGCAGAUGACUCUAGCGGCUCUAGCUUCAGCAUCUUCUUAAGUUCAAGUGAAAAGGAAAAGAGAAUCUCUUUUUCUUCAAACAAUUUCAAACUAAAAUCUUGAGUCUGACUUUUCCUGGCCAGAAUUAAGCUUGUACUUAUCCCUGAAAAAUCAUCAAUGCUAGGUGAUGAAUUUACCAAUUGAGGCAGAAUUUAGGUCACAUGACUCUCCAAAGUCUCUUCAAAACCGCAUGACUCAGAGUGAGGCAGAAGUAUUUGGGAUAUUUUCAACAGGAGAAGGGUAAAUGAAUGGAGAGUGCCAAAACAACUUAUGCCGAUUAUACAAUUAUAAAUACAACCAAAAUAAAGUAUGGAAAUCAGUAUUUUCUCCUAUCUUAA